CGAUAUUAUUGAUCCACACUUGCAUACAUGGAAAAAUCAACUCAUUAAUGAGCUCUUUGACAGUAACAUCUCAGAGGAGAUCCAGCAAACAACACUCAGUAUAAACACCAGACCUGACUACUUAAUAUGGACAGGGCAUCACUCGGGGAACUACAAAAUCAAACAUGGGUACCACAGACUACGAGCAGCAACCAUAACAAACACAGAGAACUAGGCAUCAUCUUCUUUUCAAGUCCCCAAACGACUAUGGAAGGAAAUAUGGCACCUACAUACUAAUCCCAGAAUCAGGCACUUCAUGUGGAGCUUAUGUACCGAAGGCCUUCCUACGAGACUCAACCUAUGCCGGAGGAAAAUCUUACCUGAGCCUACUUGCCCUUUCUAUCACGAGCAUCCGAAGUCCUCCGAGCAUCUAUUUAUCCUGUGCUAGUGGACAAACGCACUAUGGCUGAACUUCAGUGAUCAAAUCAACACCUCCCCGACAUCAGUUACAAGAAUAGAUCAGUGGGUAUGCAACUACCUCUUCUCCGGCAACUCAGCAAGUCAAAAGGCGACCUUCGCGACCACUCUGUGGUACAUAUGGAAAGCACGAAACGACCUGAUCUUUCAAGGCCGGAAAAUAGAACAAAACAAGAUAAUCAGUGAAGCUCGCCUAGCUCAGCAACUAUUUGAGAAGUAGCAACCACAAAGGACAGCGAUUACCUCGGAAUGAUACUCAUGGGUGCCUCCAGAUCCGAGCACGUGGAAGAUUAACGUGGACUAUUCAUGGCAGGAGAACAGAUCGGAGGGAUCCAUAGCCGGAAUUUGUAGAGGAGCUGAUGGGGUGUGUACCGCUGGGUUUGUGCAGAAAAUCCGAGCUCAAUCGGCUCACAUGGCCGAACCCUAGCUAUCCGGCGUUCGCUCGAGUGGUUGAAGGAGAAGCGAACUGGUCUGUCAGAACCAGUU
rnacentral:lncRNA from 1 species